UACGGGGGUGCGAGCGUUGUCCGGAAUCACUGGGCGUAAAGGGUGCGUAGGCGGCCCUGUAAGUCAGUGCUGAAAUACCCCGGCUUAACCGGGGGGUGGCAUUGAUACUGCAGGGCUUGAGUACAGAUGAGGUAGGCGGAAUUGACGGUGUAGCGGUGAAAUGCAUAGAUAUCGUCAAGAACACCGAUAGCGAAGGCAGCUUACUGGGCUGUAACUGACGCUGAUGCACGAAAGUGUGGGGAUCAAACAGG
rnacentral:rRNA from 1 species